rnacentral:rRNA from 1 species
GAUGAACGCUAGCGGCAGGCCUAACACAUGCAAGUCGAGGGAGAAGCCCUUCGGGGCAGAAACCGGCGCACGGGUGCGUAACGCGUAUGCAACCUACCUUUCACAGGGGGAUAGCCCGAAGAAAUUUGGAUUAAUACCCCAUAAUAUUAUUGGAUGGCAUCAUUUGAUAAUUAAAAUUACGAUGGUGAAAGAUGGGCAUGCGUCCUACUAGCUAGUUGGAGUGGUAACGGCACCCCAAGGCUACGAUAGGUAGGGGUCCUGAGAGGGAGAUCCCCCACACUGGUACUGAGACAGGGACCAGACUCCUACGGGAGGCAGCAGUGAGGAAUAUUGGUCAAUGGUCGGAAGACUGAACCAGCCAUGCCGCGUGCAGGAAGAAUGCCUUAUGGGUUGUAAACUGCUUUUAUAUGGGAAGAAUAAGGAGUACGUGUACUUUGAUGACGUACCAUAUGAAAAGCUCGCA